UACGUAGGGUGCGAGCGUUGUCCGGAAUUAUUGGGCGUAAAGGGCUCGUAGGCGGUCCGUCACGUCGGGAGUGAAAACUUGGGGCUUAACCCCAAGCCUGCUUCCGAUACGGGCGGACGUAGAGGUAGGCAGGGGAGAACGGGAAUUCCUGGUGUGAGACGGCUGGAAUGACGGCAGAUAUCAGGAAGAACACCCGUGGCUAAGGCGGCUCUCUAGUACGGUACUGACGCUGAGACGCGAAAGCGUGGGGAGCGAACAGG
rnacentral:rRNA from 1 species